rnacentral:rRNA from 1 species
AUCGAUGAAGAACGCAGCGAAAUGCGAUAAGUAAUGUGAAUUGCAGAAUUCAGUGAAUCAUCGAAUCUUUGAACGCACAUUGCGCCCUUUGGCAUUCCGAAGGGCAUGCCCGUUCGAGCGUCAUUACACCCCUCAAGCCUGGCUUGGUAUUGGGCGACGGCAGUCUGCCGCGCCUCGAAGUGAUCGGCUGGACGGUUUGAAUCUCAGCGUUGUGGUUUCAUCAAUUCGCUGGCGAGGACGACCGGACGCGCCGUUAAACCUCAAUCACAGGUUGACCUCGGAUCGGGUAGGGAUACCCGCUGAACUUAAGCAUAUCAAUAAGCGGAGGAAAAGAAACCAACAGGGAUUGCCCUAGUAACGGCGAGUGAAGCGGCAACAGCUCAAAUUUGAAAUCUGGCGCAAGCCCGAGUUGUAAUUUGUAGAGGAUGCUUCUAGGCAGCGGCCGGUCUAAGUCUCUUGGAACAGGGCGUCAUAGAGGGUGAGAAUCCCGUAUGUGACCGGCUGGCACCUUACACGUAGCUCCUUCGACGAGUCGAGUUGUUUGGGAAUGCAGCUCUAAAUGGGAGGUAAAUUUCUUCUAAAGCUAAAUACCGGCCAGAGACCGAUAGCGCACAAGUAGAGUGAUCGAAAGAUGAAAAGCACUUUGGAAAGAGAGUUAAAAAGCACGUGAAAUUGUUGAAAGGGAAGCGCUUGCAACCAGACUUGUUGGCGGUGUUCCGCCGGUCUUCUGACCGGUCUACUCGCCGCCCGCAGGCCAGCGUCGUCUGGGGCCGCCGGAGAAAGGCGUUGGGAAUGUAGCUCCCUCGGGAGUGUUAUAGCCCAUCGCACAAUACGGCGCGCGCCGGGCGAGGUCCGCGCUUCGGCAAGGACGCUGGCGUAAUGGUCGUAAGCGGCCCGUCUUGAAACACGG